rnacentral:lncRNA from 1 species
GCUUGACAUAGUCUCCGAGAUGACCUAUGUUUGUUUGGAAGCAAAAGUGCUCUCUUUCUCCCUCCCGUUGUUGCCUGAUGGGAAUGUUCUACCAGUGUUCCCGCUGCCGAUAUACCUAUCUAUAGUGUAGUGGUGGUGUAGCGCGUUAGGGAGAUCAGUCUCAUCCAUAUCAAUAACCAAGUGGGGGCUUUCUUAAGAUUUGGCGAGCUACGUGCUCUUUAUCUCCCCCUCCCAUUAGUUUAGUUAGGAAAAAACGGUGGGCGUCCUCCGGUCCGCAUUGCGUUUGAUGAAAUGGCAGCUGACGUUCAACAAUGAAUGCAGAUAUAUGAUUUAUGUGCCAUUCGAUGAGUUCAUGUGCGCUGCCUCACCCCCUGGAUAUGGAGGCCAAUCUGUCCGCGUAACCAUCUCAUCUGGCCGUUCAUGCGGGCGUUUAGCCUGCCAAACCUUUCAAGUCAUUUCUGAUUGCAGAAUACAAGGGACCUUGCCUGAGAGGGGAAGGUUUAGAGAAAGACCCCUUGAAGGUGGCUAGGCUAGUGCAACAGGCCAAGUCGGGAGCUACUAGUAGGUUUUGGAUCAAGGAUGGGCUCUUGAUCACCAGAGGGAAUUGCCUCUACGUGCCCAAGGUUGGAGACUUCACUUAAGGAAGGAGAUAUUAAGGGAGUGCCAUGAUACACGGCUGGUCACCCAGGGCAGCGGAGGACACUGGCCCUUAUAGCACGAGGUUACUACUGAAGCUCUAGAAAGGCAUAUGUGGUAGUUUAUGUAGUUACCAAAAUCAAGUUUUUCUAAAAUGUUGGGUUGGAUAACCCUAUUAGUUGUUGUGGGUCAAUGAUGCUCGAGCAUGUACUUCUUUUGAGUUCCUAUUCAUUUUAUAUAAGUUUUUAUGGAUUGAUCACAGGCGGUUAGGAGAGCAGCUUUUUUGCCCACUUCUCUUACUGAUGUGGCAUUUGGCCUUCAAAGAGAUGAUUCAAUAGCAGCCUACUCUGGGCAUGAAUAUGAUACUAAAGUCCCUCUGUGCAUCCUACUACUAGCAGCUCCUUCUAUGUCCCUUCUUAUACUAUGCAUUAUGCUCCUCGAAGCAAGGAAGUGAGAGCACCAGGAAGAGCAGAUAGGUUGUUUGUGAAAGAAGGGCACAGGCCAUUGUUCUCUAUCAAUUUCUUCGUUUUCUGACCCCUGAUGAUAGAUCAAUCGUUGAUUGGCUUAAAGUGUCAAAUAAGGUAUUCGUUAAGCCUCUGGAACUUGAAUUUUGGUAAUCAGCCUAUCUUAGUAUGCUUUCUUAUCUUUUUGGAGUGCCUAAAGACAAGUGAACGAAGUGGCCCUUUGGUAAGGAAGACGAGUGAACAGGGAGAGUUGAAAGCGCUUACUAGUGAGUGAGGAGGGAAAGCAGCCUCCCUUUCUAAAGGGAAUUUGCCUGCAAUACGAGUCAGGGGAAUGGAUCUCACUUGAACCUCUACCCUAUGUCUUGCCUUAUUUCAAUGCUUGAAAACCGGAUGAACGACUUUCAAAGCAAACAUUCUUAUUCAUCCAUCUAGGAGUGAAAGCCCGGUAUUCAUAUAAAAGAGAAGAGGUAAGCAGCAUAAGCAGCAAAGGGGGAGCGGCGGCGGGUGAAAGCCGAGCAAGAAAGCCGCUGCUCUUAAGGAGCGAAUAAAUAAUAGCGCUAGCGCACUCUCUCAAAGCUACUUAUGGUUGAGGCUUACUACAAAAAUUGGCCGAUAAAAAGUGAGCGUGCGGCGUGCGAAAGCCGUUGUUGCGGCUUUCUUACUGGAAGAGGGAAAGGCCAAUAAAAUAUUUGAUUGUUUAAGUAACCCCGAAAGAGCAGACUAAAUCGAUAGGAGAGGUCGUCCCGCGAAAGAAAUGAAUAAAGCCUAAGAACUUCUUUACUUUCUUUUAAAUACUAGAAAUAUAAUUUAAUAGAAUGUUUUGCCCGUAUUUUUUCUACACCUCUGACCCCCACCCUUAUUUGUUGACAUAAUUUGGAUGACCGGUCGCCCCUACCCUAUUAGUAGCGUCUGGCUAUAGGUAUCGAAUGUAUAAAUUCUAUGUCAGUGAGCUUUCUUUGUUCCGCGCGUCCGCGCGCAUGCACGUGUACUCCGCGCACGGCCGUACGGGCGAGUAGCUAGAGCUAGGAGCUGGCUAGCUAGUAGCGAGUGAGUAGCUAGAGCUAGCUAGUAGCGAGUGAGUAGCUAGAGCUAGCUAGUAGCGAGUGAGUAGCUAAAGCUAGCUAGUAAUAUCAAUAACUGAACUGCUUCCUAACUACUACAAGUUCUUACCUAAAAGCUUCCUAACUAAAGCUACUAGUACUCUGCUACUAUACUAGUACUGAAACCAAGCAGCUACCUACGCUUGCUUGUUUUCGGCGAAAAGGUACUGAACCAAGCUACUAGUACUGAAACCUACCAGCUACCUACAAGUACUUGAAGCUUGUUUUAGGCGAACAAAACAAGGUACUAUACUAGCAGCUACUAGUACCUAGCUACUAGCUGCUACUAGCUACCAGCCAUACACUAACCUGCUUGCUUUACUUGAACCUGCUUGCUUGCCUUAGCUACUAGCUUGAACCUACUAAACCUAAACUAAACUUAACUCAACCUACAACGAGUUCAGUCGUUAAGCUACUUGAGAGUUCAGUCGUUAAG